GUCAGCCGCCGCGGUAACACCGGCGGCCCGAGUGGUGAUCGUGAUUAUUGGGUCUAAAGGGUCCGUAGCCGGUUUGGUCAGUCCUCCGGGAAAUCUGAUAGCUCAACUAUUAGGCUUUCGGGGGAUACUGCCAGACUUGGAACCGGGAGAGGUAAGAGGUACUACAGGGGUAGGAGUGAAAUCUUGUAAUCCCUGUGGGACCACCUGUGGCGAAGGCGUCUUACCAGAACGGGUUCGACGGUGAGGGACGAAAGCUGGGGGGCACGAACCGGAUUAGAUACCCGGGUAGUCCCAGCCGUAAACGAUGCUCGCUAGGUGUCAGGCAUGGCGCGACCGUGUCUGGUGCCGCAGGGAAGCCGUGAAGCGAGCCACCUGGGAAGUACGGCCGCAAGGCUGGAACCUAAAGGAAUUGGCGGGGGAGCACAACAACGGGUGGAGCCCUGCGGUUUAAUUGGACUCAACGCCGGACAACUCACCGGGGGCGACAGCAAUAUGUAGGCCAAGCUGAAGACUUUGCCUGAAUCGCUGAGAAGAGGUGCAUGG
rnacentral:rRNA from 1 species